rnacentral:rRNA from 1 species
AUUGAACGCUGGCGGCAGGCUUAACACAUGCAAGUCGAGCGGGGUGAUGGUGCUUGCACUAUCACUUAGCGGCGGACGGGUGAGUAAUGCUUAGGAAUCUGCCUAUUAGUGGGGGACAACAUCUCGAAAGGGAUGCUAACACCGCAUACGUCCUACGGGAGAAAGCAGGGGAUCACUUGUGACCUUGCGCUAAUAGAUGAGCCUAAGUCGGAUUAGCUAGUUGGUGGGGUAAAGGCCUACCUAGGCGACGAGCUGUAGCGGGUCUGAGAGGAUGAUCCGCCACACUGGGACUGAGACACGGCCCAGACUCCUACGGGAGGCAGCAGUGGGGAAUAUUGGACAAUGGGGGGAACCCUGAUCCAGCCAUGCCGCGUGUGUGAAGAAGGCCUUAUGGUUGUAAAGCACUUUAAGCGAGGAGGAGGCUCUUUUGGUUAAUACCCAAGAUGAGUGGACGUUACUCGCAGAAUAAGCACCGGCUAACUCUGUGCCAGCCGCCGCGGUAA